UUUGCGUCGAAGGUAUACCGGUAAGGAGUGCUGGAGCGAAUAGAAGUGAGCAUGCAGGCAUGAGUAGCGAUAAUUAAUGUGAGAAUCAUUAACGCCGUAAACCCAAGGUUUCCUACGCGAUGCUCGUCAUCGUAGGGUUAGUCGGGUCCUAAGUCGAGUCCGAAAGGGGUAGACGAUGGCAAAUUGGUUAAUAUUCCAAUACCAACAUUAGUGUGCGAUGGAAGGACGCUUAGGGCUAAGGGGGCUAGCGGAUGGAAGUGCUAGUCUAAGGUCGUAGGAGGUUAUACAGGCAAAUCCGUAUAACAAUACUCCGAGAACUGAAAGGCUUUUUGAAGUCUUCGGAUGGAUAGAAGAACCCCUGAUGCCGUCGAGCCAAGAAAAGUUUCUAAGUUUAGCUAAUGUUGCCCGUACCGUAAACCGACACAGGUGGGUGGGAUGAGUAUUCUAAGGCGCGUGGAAGAACUCUCUUUAAGGAACUCUGCAAAAUAGCACCGUAUCUUCGGUAUAAGGUGUGGUUAGCUUUGUAUUAGGAUUUACUCCGAAAGCAAGGAAACUUACAACAAAGAGUCCCUCCCGACUGUUUACCAAAAACACAGCACUCUGCUAACUCGUAAGAGGAUGUAUAGGGUGUGACGCCUGCCCGGUGCUCGAAGGUUAAUUGAUGGGGUUAGCAUUAGCGAAGCUCUUGAUCGAAGCCCGAGUAAACGGCGGCCGUAACUAUAACGGUCCUAAGGUAGCGAAAUUCCUUGUCGGUUAAAUACCGACCUGCAUGAAUGGCGUAACGAGAUGGGAGCUGUCUCAAAGAGGGAUCCAGUGAAAUUGUAGUGGAGGUGAAAAUUCCUCCUACCCGCGGCAAGACGGAAAGACCCCGUGGACCUUUACUACAGCUUGACACUGCUACUUGGAUAAGAAUGUGCAGGAUAGGUGGGAGGCUUUGAGUAUAUGACGCCAGUUGUAUAUGAGCCAUUGUUGAGAUACCACUCUUUCUUAUUUGGGUAGCUAACCAGCUUGAGUUAUCCUCAAGUGGGACAAUGUCUGGUGGGUAGUUUGACUGGGGCGGUCGCCUCCCAAAUAAUAACGGAGGCUUACAAAGGUUGGCUCAGAACGGUUGGAAAUCGUUCGUAGAGUAUAAAGGUAUAAGCCAGCUUAACUGCAAGACAUACAAGUCAAGCAGAGACGAAAGUCGGUCUUAGUGAUCCGGUGGUUCUGUGUGGAAGGGCCAUCGCUCAAAGGAUAAAAGGUACCCCGGGGAUAACAGGCUGAUCUCCCCCAAGAGCUCACAUCGACGGGGAGGUUUGGCACCUCGAUGUCGGCUCAUCGCAUCCUGGGGCUGGAGCAGGUCCCAAGGGUAUGGCUGUUCGCCAUUUAAAGCGGUACGCGAGCUGGGUUCAGAACGUCGUGAGACAGUUCGGUCCCUAUCUGCCGUGGGCGUAAGAAGAUUGAAGAGAUUUGACCCUAGUACGAGAGGACCGGGUUGAACAAACCACUGGUGUAGCUGUUGUUCUGCCAAGAGCAUCGCAGCGUAGCUAAGUUUGGAAAGGAUAAACGCUGAAAGCAUCUAAGCGUGAAGCCAACUCUAAGAUGAAUCUUCUCUAAGCUCUCUAGAAGACUACUAGUUUGAUAGGCUGGGUGUGUAAUGGAUGAAAGUCCUUUAGCUGACCAGUACUAAUAGAGCGUUUGGCUUAUCUU
rnacentral:rRNA from 1 species